rnacentral:rRNA from 1 species
AGGACGAACGCUGGCGGCGUGCUUAACACAUGCAAGUCGAGCGGAAAGGCCCUUCGGGGUACUCGAGCGGCGAACGGGUGAGUAACACGUGAGCAACCUGCCCCUGGCUCUGGGAUAGCCUCCGGAAACGGGGAUUAAUACCGGGCAUGACCCUUGACCGCAUGGUUGGGGGUGGAAAGUUUUUCGGCCAGGGUGGGGCUCGCGGCCUAUCAGCUUGUUGGGGGGGUGACGGCCCACCAAGGCGACGACGGGUAGCC